UCCUACGCGGAGGCAGCAGUAGGGAAUCUUCCGCAAUGGACGAAAGUCUGACGGAGCAACGCCGCGUGAGUGAUGAAGGCUUUCGGGUCGUAAAACUCUGUUGUUAGGGAAGAACAAGUGCUAGUUGAAUAAGCUGGCACCUUGACGGUACCUAACCAGAAAGCCACGGCUAACUACGUGCCAGCAGCCGCGGUAAUACGUAGGUGGCAAGCGUUAUCCGGAAUUAUUGGGCGUAAAGCGCGCGCAGGUGGUUUCUUAAGUCUGAUGUGAAAGCCCACGGCUCAACCGUGGAGGGUCAUUGGAAACUGGGAGACUUGAGUGCAGAAGAGGAAAGUGGAAUUCCAUGUGUAGCGGUGAAAUGCGUAGAGAUAUGGAGGAACACCAGUGGCGAAGGCGACUUUCUGGUCUGUAACUGACACUGAGGCGCGAAAGCGUGGGGAGCAAACAGGAUUAGAUACCCUGGUAGUCCACGCCGUAAACGAUGAGUGCUAAGUGUUAGAGGGUUUCCGCCCUUUAGUGCUGAAGUUAACGCAUUAAGCACUCCGCCUGGGGAGUACGGCCGCAAGGCUGAAACUCAAAGGAAUUGACGGA
rnacentral:rRNA from 1 species